rnacentral:rRNA from 1 species
GUCUCAGGCCGUAUCAGCCUGAAGGCGCCCGUUCUCGUCUGAUCUCGGAAGCUAAACAGGGUCGGGCCUGGUUAGUAUCUUGGAUGGGAGACCACCUGGGAAUCCCGGGUGCUCGAGGCU